CUGUUUCCUGUCUGUUGAUUCACUGAUGAGUGUGUCCGAGCUGGAAGUGACCUGCAGCUAAUGGAACACAAGACUAAUGUAUGUGAGUAGAUAGAAAAAUAACAUACACGGCAUUAUAAGUGUUGGAAUGUCAGUUCAAGUUAUUUUUUUAGAGGAAUACAGCAACGGCCUUUUUUUCAGGCUAGGGUACAUCACCAAUAAUCACAGCUACGUGAUAAACCAUCAAGCACAGUAAAUGAAGAGUCUUUGGGUCCUGGACAGGAAAAAAGAAGAAAUUUGAAUACAUUGCUCGAUAAUGAAGACAGUAAAACUUUGUGUUUCAGCGCUUUGACCACAGGCUACAUGAUCAGCAAACCUUAGAAAAAUCAAGCACAGACAAAAUUUCGAGGAAGGUCUUGAGCUUGAGUUUGCAGUCACUCUGAUGGGAGGCUCUUGCAGUCAGGGAGCAGUGAUAGCCAAAGCAGGAGGAGCACAGGGCUGCUGGAUGGACAACAGUCCCUAAAAGACAUAAUGUACUGGUUGUCCAGAAUCCUGAGACGCUGUGUGGCGUGGGUGGGAGACAGCAUACUGAAGGGCAUGAUUCCACAAAUUAUCUUCAUCCCAUCGUCGGGAACAUCGCACCUGAGCUGACACGAGCACAUCCUUUACACUCAGAAACCGCAUUCAAGCUUCUCCAGUGAAAAGAAAGCCACG